AGAGUUUGAUCCUGGCUCAGGACGAACGCUGGCGGCACGCUUAACACAUGCAAGUCGAACGAGAGAAGAGGAGCUUGCUUUUCUGAUCUAGUGGCGGACGGGUGAGUAACACGUGAGCAAUCUGCCUUUCAGAGGGGGAUACCGAUUGGAAACGAUCGUUAAUACCGCAUAACAUAAUUGAACCGCAUGAUUUGAUUAUCAAAGAUUUAUCGCUGAAAGAUGAGCUCGCGUCUGAUUAGCUAGUUGGUAAGGUAACGGCUUACCAAGGCGACGAUCAGUAGCCGGACUGAGAGGUUGAUCGGCCACAUUGGGACUGAGACACGGCCCAGACUCCUACGGGAGGCAGCAGUGGGGAAUAUUGCACAAUGGAGGAAACUCUGAUGCAGCGAUGCCGCGUGAGGGAAGAAGGUUUUAGGAUUGUAAACCUCUGUCUUCAGGGACGAAAAAAGACGGUACCUGAGGAGGAAGCUCCGGCUAACUACGUGCCAGCAGCCGCGGUAAUACGUAGGGAGCGAGCGUUGUCCGGAAUUACUGGGUGUAAAGGGAGCGUAGGCGGGAUCGCAAGUCAGAUGUGAAAACUAUGGGCUUAACCCAUAAACUGCAUUUGAAACUGUGGUUCUUGAGUGAAGUAGAGGUAAGCGGAAUUCCUAGUGUAGCGGUGAAAUGCGUAGAUAUUAGGAGGAACAUCAGUGGCGAAGGCGGCUUACUGGGCUUUAACUGACGCUGAGGCUCGAAAGCGUGGGGAGCAAACAGGAUUAGAUACCCUGGUAGUCCACGCCGUAAACGAUGAUUACUAGGUGUGGGGGGACUGACCCCUUCCGUGCCGCAGCAAACGCAAUAAGUAAUCCACCUGGGGAGUACGACCGCAAGGUUGAAACUCAAAGGAAUUGACGGGGGCCCGCACAAGCAGUGGAGUAUGUGGAUUAAUUCGAAGCAACGCAAAGAACCUUACCAGGUCUUGACAUCGUAUGCAUAGCUCAGAGAUGAGUGAAAUCUCUUCGGAGACAUAUAGACAGGUGGUGCAUGGUUGUCGUCAGCUCGUGUCGUGAGAUGUUGGGUUAAGUCCCGCAACGAGCGCAACCCUUACUGUUAGUUGCUACGCAAGAGCACUCUAGCAGGACUGCCGUUGACAAAACGGAGGAAGGUGGGGAUGACGUCAAAUCAUCAUGCCCCUUAUGACCUGGGCCUCACACGUACUACAAUGGCUGUCAACAGAGGGAAGCAAAGCCGCGAGGUGGAGCGAACCCCUAAAAGCAGUCUUAGUUCGGAUUGUAGGCUGCAACCCGCCUACAUGAAGUCGGAAUUGCUAGUAAUCGCAGAUCAGCAUGCUGCGGUGAAUACGUUCCCGGGCCUUGUACACACCGCCCGUCACGCCAUGGGAGUCGGUAACACCCGAAGCCUGUAGUCUAACCGCAAGGAGGACGCAGUCGAAGGUGGGAUUGAUGACUGGGGUGAAGUCGUAACAAGGUA
rnacentral:rRNA from 1 species